rnacentral:tRNA from 1 species
AGCUCGGUGGUCUAGAGGUAUGAUGCCAGGCUAUUGAUCUGGAGAUCGUGGGUUCGAGUCCCACCCGAGAACUA